ACUUUCAACAACGGAUCUCUUGGCUCUGGCAUCGAUGAAGAACGCAGCGAAAUGCGAUAAGUAAUGUGAAUUGCAGAAUUCAGUGAAUCAUCGAAUCUUUGAACGCACAUUGCGCCCGCCAGCACUCUGGCGGGCAUACCUGUCCGAGCGUCAUU
rnacentral:rRNA from 1 species